CUCGAUUCUUUUAUCCAUUUAUUCAUUUUGUUUAUUAAUGCGUACGUUUUUUGGCCAGGCCCCCAGGGUUAUAGCCUUAAACAAACAACACAGUCCCUGGGGGCCUGCAGGUCAUUUUCCAGGCAGACAUAGACACAGAGACAGGCCAAGGUAACCCAAGUGUUAGAAGCCUCAUACUGGAGGCAAGUACACGAUGCUGAAGGAAAAGAAACCAUCCAAAAAUCUUUGGGGGUCAAGAGAGAUUUCUAGGGAGAAUGGUGUAGAAACUGAAAGCUAAAGGGCUGGUAUGGAGGAUGGGAGAAGAAGAGGGGGCAAUUUUUCUAGGUAGAGGCCGAAAGGUAAGAGAGAACAUAAGAAAUACAGGAAUAAUUGCCCAGCAAUUGGGAAUGCCAACAGAUAGCACAAAGGAGAAACAAAGUACCCCAAAACAUAAGGAUCCAAGACCCAGCUAAAGCCUCUCCUAUCCGGAUAGAUGUUUCACGUGCAGCAGAUCAGGAUGUAAAUUCACUUAAUGAUUCCAGCCAAGAACCUGGCAUCCCAAUAUGUCCCUUCCAAGGAACAGUGUCCUAAAUGGUUCUUGGUCGAUUUCAUGAAGGAAAACUCUUUUGCGGCUCGGGCUUGAAGGCACACACUGGGAACAGGCAAGCGUGGGCACCCCAGGAGAACCCUGCCUGGGAAAACACUGUGGCUGAUGCAGCUUUCUCCUGCCUCUCUCAGCAGAGCUUGUGUCACUCGCUCCCUGGAGGGGCAACUUCUUGAAUGAAAUCACUGAGCGGUGGAGAGGAGGUCUUUGUAAGGCUUUUAAAGUCAAGCUCUUCCCCAGGCUGGGAUUGGGAAAUGCAAAAUUUGCUGAUUGAAUUCAAGCUUCUCCGAGCAGGUGCAACAAGUGUGAAUGUUCUCAGAUUGUGAACAAGGCCAUGACUAAUUCUCACUUCAUGUACCCAGCCUCCAAGCCAAGAGCCACAGGUUCACUUCUUCAUGAAUCCCCGUGAAAAGCAAAUGCAAU
rnacentral:lncRNA from 1 species